CUAAGAAUAUUCCGCAAUGGACGGAAGUCUGACGGAGCGACGCCGCGUGGAUGACGAAGGCCGAAAGGUUGUAAGGUUCUUUUGCUGGGGAAGAAUAACCGCAGGAGGGAAUGCCUGUGGGAUGACAAGAACCGGCGAAUAAGCCCCGGCCAACUACGUGCCAGCAGCCGCGGUAACACGUAGGGGGCGAGCGUUGUUCGGAAUUACUGGGCGUAAAGGGCAUGUAGGCGGCUUGGAAAGCCUGGCGUGAAAGUCUGCAGCUUAACUGCAGGGGUGCGCUGGGAACUGCUGAGCUUGAGUGACGGAGAGGGAGCUGGAAUUCCUGGUGUAGGGGUGAAAUCUGUAGAUAUCAGGAAGAACACCGAUGGCGAAGGCAAGCUCCUGGCCGAUGACUGACGCUGAGGUGCGAAAGUGUGGGGAUCAAAACAGGAUUAGAUACCCUGGUAGUCCACACAGUCAACGAUGUGCACUAGGUGCUGGGGCGGUAGCUUCGGUGCCGGAGCGAACGUGGUAAGUGCACCGCCUGGGGAGUAUGCUCGCAAGGGUGAAACUC
rnacentral:rRNA from 1 species